rnacentral:rRNA from 1 species
UACGUAGGGGGCAAGCGUUGUCCGGAUUCAUUGGGCGUAAAGAGCGUGUAGGCGGCCAGGUAGGUCCGCUGUGAAAACUCGAGGCUCAACCUCGAGAUGUCGGCGGAAACCAUCUGGCUAGAGUCCGGAAGAGGAGAGUGGAAUUCCCGGUGUAGCGGUGAAAUGCGCAGAUAUCGGGAAGAACACCCGUGGCGAAGGCGGCUCGCU